rnacentral:lncRNA from 1 species
CUCAAGUGUCACUUUGUGGCAUGAUUAGUUCUUCCUAAUUGGCCUUGUGCUUCAUUUGUUUUGUGUCUUCAGACCGUCCUUUAGGAUGGACAACUGGCAGACGUGGCACAGUGCAAACUGCCUUAUGGUGUCCCAUCAGGUCAGACAGGCUCCUGUUCUCAGCAGCAGUUUCUCUGCCAAAUGCCAUCGUAUCGCAUCUAAGCUGUUUAGUGUGUGUGAUGCUGUACUCUGGGGGCACUGAGAGGUUCUCUGCCCAAUCCAAGCCUAAACAUGGAGUGGUGGCACUGCCUCUGUGCGGGUAAAGACACACACUGGAAGCUGUCAGCUGCUCUGUUCUGCUUUACUCUGUGUCUCCUGCUGCAUAGGGUGCAUCUGUGUAUGGCAAAGUGGGCAUGCCUUGUUAAGAAAUCUAUAUGGAAUUUGUGUAGCUGCUAUUGCUGAACAUAACUAGCACUUCUGUAGCAUCCUUGCCUGAUGCUACAAAUCUAAGGCCACAAGUUUCAAUUAAGCCACUGAUAAAUAACUGCCAUAGACCUGUGAGACGAGAAGUGCACAGGCUAGCUGCUGCUGCUUUCUGAGGUGGAGACUCAGAAUCAAACCCAAGUCCCAGCGCUGCUUGCUGGGUGACCCAGAUGUAAACUCAGUGCAUUGCCAGCACUACAGGAAUCAGGUGCUUGCAGGGUACGGGAUAGUUUUGUUGUGCCAUUGUACUGAUGCCAAGUUUCCACUGGCUUUAAAUGUCUGAUGGCUGACAUUCAUUCUUACAAACACUUCUCUGAUAGAGAAAC